rnacentral:rRNA from 1 species
GACGAACGCUGGCGGCGUGCUUAACACAUGCAAGUCGAGCGGUAAGGCCCUUUCGGGGGUACACGAGCGGCGAACGGGUGAGUAACACGUGGGUGACCUGCCCUUAGCUCUGGGAUAAGCCUGGGAAACUGGGUCUAAUACCGGAUAUGACUCCAUGACGCAUGUUGUGGGGUGGAAAGCCUUGUGCGGCUAGGGAUGGGCCCGCGGCCUAUCAGCUUGUUGGUGGGGGUGANGGCCUACCAAGGCGACGACGGGUAGCCGGCCUGAGAGGGCGACCGGCCACACUGGGACUGAGACACGGCCCAGACUCCUACGGGAGGCAGCAGUGGGGAAUCUUGCGCAAUGGGCGAAAGCCUGACGCAGCGACGCCGCGUGGGGGA